rnacentral:rRNA from 1 species
UACAGAGGUCCCAAGCGUUGUUCGGAUUUACUGGGCGUAAAGGGUGCGUAGGAGGUUGGCAAAGUCGGAUGUGAAAUCUCACCGCUUAACGGUGAAAUUGCGUUCGAUACUGGUUGACUAGAGUAUCGGAGGGGAAAGCGGAAUUCCUGGUGUAGCGGUGAAAUGCGUAGAUAUCAGGAGGAACACCAACGGCGAAGGCAGCUUUCUGGACGAUAACUGACUCUGAGGCACGAAGGCCAGGGGAGCGAACGGG